UGACUGAAGUUAGUCGCCAAGUCCAGCUCACAUGAGAUGGGACAGGUUUGCACAAAGAGUCUCACAGUGUCACCCAGGCUGGAGUACAGUGGCGUGAUCUCGGCUCACUGCAACCUCCACCUCCUGGCUUCAAGUGAUUCUCCUGCCUCAGCCACCUGAGUAACUGGGACUACAGAAACCCUGUCUCCCCAGGAGAAAAAGUCCUCAAUGUUGCAAGAUCACUAAAAGAUUUACAGAAGAAAUGGGCUCUUUUGUUUUUGUUCUUCAUUCAUCUUCUUUCCUUAUGCCAAAAAAUAUAUAUUUGCAUUCUGAAAUCAA